rnacentral:lncRNA from 1 species
CCUAAACCAGCAUUUAUUUUCUAAAUGCAAAAUCCAAAUGUAUAUCAGUAGUGACCUGUAUAUUAAGAAGGACAAGAGAAAAGAUUCAAAAUUGUAACCAUGAGAUACUGGUCAUACCUUGCCAAUCUCACUGAGUCUGAAACAUCCAUGCCACCUUUCAUCAAGUCUCCGUUAAAGAUAUAUCUUGCCUGCUUAACAUCAAUUCAGAAAAUGUGGCUUCCACAGUGGACACUGGACAUAUCGAACACCAGUUGAGGGAGAAAAGAAUAAGUUGCUACACCGCAAAGAAAGAG